GGGGGAUUUUGAUACUAGUCCUUCCUUGGACAGGGAAUUCAACUUGACUUAUAGUUUCUGCUUGGAAAAUCACUCUCUACUUCCUUUUUAAUUAUUGCUCCCUGUUACUUCCUUACUCCCUUUCCCAGAUGAAAUAGAAAGGCUACCUAAUUCUGAUACACCUCGGAAGUCUUCUGGUGGUUUGAUUUGGUGGUAUUCUUGGAUUAUAAUAAUGCCACAACCAGAUAGAGAAAGUGCAAAAAGAGAAAAAAAGUACAAAGGUCAAUUGUGACUCAAAUGGAGCUUAAAAUGAUAGCAGAUCUGAACCUGGAUCCUGAAAAGAUGCACCCAAUCCAAAUGGAAUCUGCCAUUUUAUAUUCUGGAGUAUUAUAUUCUCUAAAAAAGACAACCAAGAGAACCUGGGAUUCUUCCUGGAUAGAGAUCGAAUGACACAACCUUAAGUAAAUUGAAUGAGGAAAGGGGCUAUGGAGAGCAAUGGAAGAGCUAAAGUGAUUGACUUGGCAUCAGAAGGAUCUGGACUUAUAUUCUUCCCCCCACUUUUACUUCUAGUUUGACCUAAGAUAAUUCCUUCAAACUCUCUAUGUCUUGGUUUCCUCAUCUGGAAAAUAAAGGACUUGAGGACUUAGACUCUGUUCA
rnacentral:lncRNA from 1 species